GUCUCCUUUGUAAUUCAUAGGGGUCCACAUGAUUAGACAAGAGGAUACUCAACAGAUCCUUCCUUGAACACUUCAUCUCUAUGCUGGAUUCUCCUGAGACAUUUUAUUGGCUCCAUGAGUCACACACCCAAUCUCUUCAGUAAAAGAUUGUUCAGCGACACGUUUGGCCCUGUCUCCAGUGAAUGCUUUUCUAGCAGCAAUUUUCUAACUUUGGCGUCCUUUACAAUGUGACUAGACCAAGAACUGUCCAAAUUAUCAAAGGCUAGUUGCUUUCUUUGCAUGAGUUCCUUCUUCCAUUUAUCUUUUUCCUCUGGAAUUGUACUAUAAGCUGCAACUUCAACACUUUGCUUGAAAAUUUCCAGCUAAACAUCCAAAUUUAUCGCUUACAAGUUCUACUCUCUCCCAACAGUAGAUCACAAUUCAAACAAGUUUUCUACCUUUUUUUUUUUUUUUUUUUUUUUUUGAAACAGAGUCUCGCUCUGUCACCCAGGCUGGAGUGCAGUGAUGCGAUCUCAGCUCACUGCAAGCUCCACCUCUGGGUUCAUGCCAUUCUCCUGCCUCAGCCUCCUGAGUAGCUGGGACUACAGGUGCCUGCCACCACGCCCGGCUAAUUUUUUGUAUUUUUAGUAGAGACGGGGUUUCACCACGUUAGCCAGGAUGAUGGUCUCAAUCUCCUGACCUCGUGAUCCACCUGCCUCGGCCUCCCAAAGUGCUGGAAUUACAGGUGUGAGCCACCACGCCUGGCCAGUUUUCUACCAUUUUGUAACAAGAAUCACCUUUCUUCCAGUUUCCAAUAAAAUGCUCCUCAUUCCUUCCUGAGAUCUCACUAGAAAUACCUUUAAUAUUCACAUUUCUAUCAAUCAUGUCUUCAAGGCAAUUUAGGCUUUUUCUAUUAUGCACCUAAAAAUUCUUCCAGCCACUUCCACAUUGUUCAGAUAUUUGUUACAGCAGAUUCCACUCUCAGUACCAAAUCUGUAUCAGUCAGGAUUCCAUCAGAAAAACCGAACCAGUGGGAUGUUCAUGUACUCUCCUUAACACUAGACCAGGAAGCUGAACCUGCUGGAUAUCUUCAAUUUUCCCUUCAGAUCAAUUUUCUGCAUCUACCAAGUAAGAAACCCAGCUUCUGCCAAGAAAUCCUGCUGCUUCUAGCCUGAGUCUUACACGGCCUGUGACUUCUUAGCGCCUUAAUAAACAUUCCCUCCAUCAAACUCUGCUGAAAUUGUCCAGUUGGAUUGUACCAUCUCUGGUUCUGCAAAGACCCUUAUUGAUCCAUGGAAACUGUCAUAUCCUGGAAUCAAGUCUCCUGGAGGGAUUGGGAGUGACCAAUACAUCUCAAUACAUCAGAACUGAUUAUUCCCUUCUCUAUAGGGCUCUACUUUAAGGAGACUCAAGGCAAUUUAAAAAAAAAUCCAAUAAAGGGGGUGUUAGAACAUCAAUCAUAGCAUAGAGGCUAUAAAGUAGCCAUUACUGAGGGAGUUUACCGGACAGGAGGGCCUGAGGGCAGCCAUGUGAGUUGAGUAUAACUCUGCUGGGCAGGUGUAGAAAGGAUGGGCUGUAGAAAGACCAGCAAUUUUGCAGGUCCAAUCACAUAAUUAAAGGCAUUGGUAGAGGAAAGAAAUCAUCAAGAAUACAUGCAAAGUUUGUGAAAGAGUAUAAAAAUAUGGUUAGAUAGAAGGAAUAAGUUCUAGUAUUCAUAAGUACAAUAGAAAAAUUAUAGAUAACAAUGAUUUAUUGUAGAUUUUAAAGUAGCUCGGAAAGAAAAAUUGCAAUGUUCCUAACACAAAUGAGAGAUAAAUGUUUAAGGCGAUGGAUAUCCCAAUUACCCUGAUUUGAUCAUUACACGUUGUAUACACAUAUCAAAAUACCACAUGCACCCCAAAAAUAUGUACAGCUAUUAUCUAUCAAUAAAAAUAAACAAAAUAAGAAU
ensembl:lncRNA